rnacentral:rRNA from 1 species
UACAGAGGGGGCGAGCGUUGUUCGGAAUUACUGGGCGUAAAGGGCUCGUAGGUGGCCAACUAAGUCAGACGUGAAAUCCCCAGGCUCAACUUGGGAACUGCGUCUGAUACUGGAUGGCUUGAAUUCGGGAGAGGGAUGCAGAAUUCCAGGUGUAGCGGUGAAAUGCGUAGAUAUCUGGAGGAAUACCGGUGGCGAAGGCGGCAUCCUGGACCGAGAUUGACACUGAUGAGCGAAAGCUAGGGGAGCAAACGGG